UACGUAGGGGGCGAGCGUUGUCCGGAUUUAUUGGGCGUAAAGAGCGUGUAGGCGGCCAGGUAGGUGGGUUGUGAAAACUGGAGGCUCAACCUUCAGACGUCGACCCAAACCCCCUGGCUAGAGUCCGGAAGAGGAGAGCGGAAUUCCUGGUGUAGCGGUGAAAUGCGCAGAUAUCAGGAAGAACACCCGUGGCGAAGGCGGCUCUCUGGGACGGUACUGACGCUGAGACGCGAAAGCGUGGGGAGCGAACAGG
rnacentral:rRNA from 1 species